CGUUGAGCAAGUACAUUUAGUAAAGUGGUUUUACCAGCACCGGAUUCACCCAUCAAAGCCGUCAAUUUACCUGGAACAACAAAGCCUUGCACACCAUUAAGUAACCGGCGAUGCUCACCUUUUAUUUGAAUGUCGUAGUUAAGAUUUCUCCAGCUGAAAAUGUCAUGGCCUUUUUCAAUUCCUUCAUAUUCCUUGUUAAGCUCUUCUUCGUUGUCCGGAGACUCUUUAACAACGUCACCACCUUGAGUAUCUUGACCAGUUUCUAAAUCCAGCGGUUUUCCACCUUCAUUGACAGCUGCUUUUACAGCGUCAGGAGCAUGGCCGCGGCGAAAGACCAGAUAUUCACCUUUCAAAUCGUUGAAAUUAAGAG